AUUGAACGCUGGCGGCAUGCCUUACACAUGCAAGUCGAACGGUAACGGGCCUUCGGGUGCCGACGAGUGGCGAACGGGUGAGUAAUACAUCGGAACGUGCCCGAUCGUGGGGGAUAACGAGGCGAAAGCUUUGCUAAUACCGCAUACGAUCUACGGAUGAAAGCAGGGGACCGCAAGGCCUUGCGCGGACGGAGCGGCCGAUGGCAGAUUAGGUAGUUGGUGGGAUGAAAGCUUACCAAGCCGACGAUCUGUAGCUGGUCUGAGAGGAUGAUCAGCCACACUGGGACUGAGACACGGCCCAGACUCCUACGGGAGGCAGCAGUGGGGAAUUUUGGACAAUGGGCGCAAGCCUGAUCCAGCCAUGCCGCGUGCAGGAUGAAGGCCUUCGGGUUGUAAACUGCUUUUGUACGGAACGAAAAGCCUUCUUUUAAUACAGGAGGGUCAUGACGGUACCGUAAGAAUAAGCACCGGCUAACUACGUG
rnacentral:rRNA from 1 species